GAUUGAACGCUGGCGGCAUGCUUUACACAUGCAAGUCGAACGGCAGCGCGGGCUUCGGCCUGGCGGCGAGUGGCGAACGGGUGAGUAAUGCAUCGGAACGUGCCCAGUAGUGGGGGAUAGCCCGGCGAAAGCCGGAUUAAUACCGCAUACGACCUGAGGGUGAAAGCGGGGGACCGAAAGGCCUCGCGCUAUUGGAGCGGCCGAUGUCGGAUUAGCUAGUUGGUGGGGUAAAGGCUUACCAAGGCGACGAUCCGUAGCUGGUCUGAGAGGACGACCAGCCACACUGGGACUGAGACACGGCCCAGACUCCUACGGGAGGCAGCAGUGGGGAAUUUUGGACAGUGGGGGCAACCCUGAUCCAGCCAUGCCGCGUGCGGGAAGAAGGCCUUCGGGUUGUAAACCGCUUUUGUUCGGGAAGAAAUCCUCUGGGCUAAUACCCCGGGGGGAUGACGGUACCGGAAGAAUAAGCACCGGCUAACUACGUG
rnacentral:rRNA from 1 species